rnacentral:lncRNA from 1 species
CUUUUUAAAAACUUCGUGAACUUUUGUUAUUGGAAAGCCUGUUUCAAUUUGAAAACGUGUUGUUAUACUUAUUAAUUAAAAAUCGUCAGUUGUUUAUGUUUUCAAAAUAAACUAAGUUUGUUUUAUUUCAAAAACAGUUGAUCGCAGAAAUAUCGUCCUUUUUUGAAAAGCCGUUUUAUCAUGUGCUAUGUCAAAACCCAAAAUAAUAGUCCAAAUCCAAAAAUAAACCCAAAAGUCUAGAGAGUACAAAAAUUACAAAACUCUCAAAAAUAUAAUUUUAAAUGAGAUAAAUUAAUAUAAGUCAACUUUUAUGAAAUUGUGGAUAAAUUCGAGCUCUCAUCGCACUGACCCGUCUAAGUUUGAAGGUUACCUGAAAGUAGCAGACAAACAGAGAGUGAGUUUAUAACUCAGUGUGUAACUUAACAGAAAUAGAUUCACAAAUUUAAUACAUAACAUACACUGACAAAUGUCUCAUGCAGAAUCAGAGUCAUAUGCAAAUUACAAUCCUACCCCCAUCCGUUACACACCAUCUUCGACCAUCCUAACACACCAUGUGAGGUACAAAACACCUACUCAGCCCUACACACCAGUUAGUGUCCUUACGACACUUUUCAAAAAAAUUGCAGCAGUGGUGCCAGUAUAUUGGCGAGUCAUUGCCUCACAUAGAACACUUCCUCCUCAUAAUACAUAACCCGCCCCAUAAUUAGAUACAGAUAGAAAACCAGAUAUAACAGAAUAACAGAUACCAGAAUGUAUAUCACAUGCAUGCUCGCAUAACAGAUAUUAAACAUGCUCAUACAUAACAGAUCAAACAUAUAACAUCUCAUUACAUGUACUUAGGUGUUGUUUACAUUAAAUUCAUACUAUCAAAUUAGCAAAUUUCAUGCUUUAGGGCUUAUAUAAACACGUAUUGACCCCACGGAAGACCCACAGUCGAUCGAGACGACGUGUACGACUCUAGGGAAAAUUUUUGAAAUUUGGGCCCACACAUGCCACAUGCCUGUGUGGCCCACACGACCCAAAAUGGCCUAGGCCGUGUCACACGGCCAUGUGGCGUCGACAAGCUUCAAUUUUAAUUUUUGCCGAUCGCUAUUUUUUGAGUUUUUCGUUACUCACCUUGACUUUUUUUAUGCAAAUCCACCCACAAAGCUUCCAUAUCCUAAAACGUCAAUAAACACACCGAAAUUAAGAACAAUUCAUGAAACUUGUAUCAAGAAUUAUUCACAAACAACCUCACAUGGCCCCAAAAUAUUCGAACACCUACUGAUAAAGCAAACAACAAUUAACGAUACCUAAGUCGUUGGAGUAACGCCAAGCGUCGUUCAAUCCUCUCCUAAAACCACAUAAUACCAAUUAACCAAACACCCAGAGAAGAAAUCAACCCUUACGAUUCAAACUCAGUAUCCAAAUGGAACCAAAAAUACCAUACUAUCGAAAGAAAAAAUUACACACUUACCCUACGAAUUAGAAAUACCCAAAAAAUAUCGAACAAGAGAUUAAUCACCACACCCGCGUGAAUACUUGAAUCCAAAAAGAAAUACAAGCCCCCCACCAAACAGUUUUUGACGAAAAAUAGUAAAAAGAAUUAAUUCGAGAGGGAAAAGGCAUAAAAAAAAAGAACAAAGAACAAUUUGCAAAACUCCACUUGACAGCACUUGGAACGUGAAACGUGGGUAGUGAUUUUAGGAGAAAAAAAAUAUAAUAGUUUCCAAAUAAAACAAAAACCUAACCCCUAACUUCCUGAUAUCUCAACAACUAUUUUAAGAGUUUUAAUCCAAUUCCAACACCACCAAUAUGAACAACACACCAAGGAUUAACAAAAAUAAUCACACUUUAAUCACAUAGGAGAUUCGAACUCUAAACCCGUAUCACAACCGCUAAAGCAGGCACUCAAUUAAUGUCUGAAUUUAACAAAGCCGAACUUAAGAUUUUUAGGGCGUUACAUACUAAAUCAUCAAAUAGAUUUAAACAUACUUAAGAAUUAUAGACGUACCUCAUUGUUCGACGAGUUCUUUAGUCUACAUAUAGUUGUUAGUCCAUCAAUUUAUCAAACAAAUCAACAUGCCAUCACAAUUCAAACAUCUAAUCAUUUAAUCAAGCAGUUAUAAAAUAUUCAGAAGAAAAAAAAUACAAAUUAAUCAACAGUCUUUAUGUUCAAUUUACAACCCAUCACCAUUUGUUAAAAAAUUUUAAGUCUAAUCUAGUCCCUUGGAAUAGUCCCAUUUUGCCUUUCUUAUUGAGGUUUGGAAACAUGACACAUACUCAGGAAAUUUGCCUUGCAAUGGAUCACUAGAAAUCCCCACUUCUUAAUGCCUCAUGAGCUACUUUUCUGUACAACGAAAAUAAGGAGUGUGAGCUUAUUGAAGCUCAGUGAGUGCACAAAAUAUGCUACAAGUGAACACAUCAAUCAUGUUAAAAGUAAGCAUGCUAUACAAUUUGUACAAAAGUACAACUUGGAUGAUAACAAAGACAUAAUAGCUCGCAAUAAAUUACAAUGUCAUAUAGCUCGCAUGAUAAAAUCAGUUUGCAUAACAUAACACAAUCAUAACAUAUAAUAUCAAUAUAUUGGCAAUUUGUGACUGUGGAACAUAAUCAUAAAACAUAUUCAUUGGAUAAUCGAAUCUCCAUUCACACCCAAUAACUCAUAGAGUCCUGCACUAUCUCCAGCAAAUGUAGCACAAGUGCACACUCCCCAAACACACCAUGCUAUCUACGGUGAAUGGAGUUAUACUUUAUAUUCCUUUAUCUCUCUAAUGCUAUCUUCGGGCCACAAUGCCCUAUCACAAUAUAAAUGAGAGUACUCACAAUCCUAUGGCAUGACAAUAGAUCUCGCAUGUAACUUAGCUCACAAUUAUUCAAUAGUUCGUAUAAACAAAGCAUAUCUCACAUAUAAUCUUAAUUCGCAUAUGGGAUAGCUCGCAUAUAUCAUAAAGUUUCACAAUACACAGCUCACAUAAAUAAGGCUUGGUUCAUAAUACAGUAAAAAAUUGCAACAAAUAUAUAAGCAUAAAUUACAUAUGAAUACUUACUCCUAAAAAUUCGGUUAAAUGGUUACACCACCUAAGCUUACCAUUAAUACUUGACGUGUGACUGCACUAUGUAAUGCACACACCUAUCAUGGCUUUUUUGCUUUACCGAGCCUAGGUAAACUUCAGCUUGCCUUUGUCUUUGCUUGAGGAAACUCCUUCGCGAUCUGAUGCUUCACAUAACAACACACACCAACACAAUAGAUUUCAAUUGAUCUAAAGUAAAAUGACAUUCCUAACUACCUAUCAUCUCACCAUUCACACUUCUCUGGCAAGCUUGCCUCGCACACCUCCGAAACUCUAAUUUCUUCACUCUCACUUAUUUUAAUUCUCAAUUCUUAACAUACUUAACAUUUAAUUACAAAUCUAUACUACUAAUUUCAUCCAAUUACAUUGAUCUCAGUUUUCUGGAAAAUCAUGUUUGUUUUUCAAUCGAGUAGAAGAGAAAUCAUUCAAUCCAUUCAGGUUCAUUAAAGAUUUGUUAAAUUCAUAUUAAAGACCUCUUAAUUUCAUCAAAAUAAGUUUAAAUUCAUUUUGAAACAGUCACUUAGCUCACAAUUUCGAGAUCUACCAUUUUUGAGCAAAACUAAGCUUCAAAUCGAUAGAUCUUAUGAAUUCUUAAUUAGAUCUAUAAAAACUUGAAUUAAAACCACAUAUUAUCUAUGUUACUAUAGGAAAUAAGAUAAUUACCUUUUAUUUGAGGAAUCUACAAUAAUAUAACUUGUGAAAACCGUUUGAAUGAAUAACUAAAACAUCAAAGAGAAAUGAUUAGUUUCUUUGAAAUUGGAGAAGGAAGAAAAAAUUCUAUUUGAAUGCUUCGAAAAUCAGGAUGGUUGAGAAAAUUUUGAGAGAAAACUUCUAAUUUGGAUCUAUUGAAAAUUUUCAAAUGAGUAGAAAU